AGUGAACGCUGGCGGUAGGCUUAACACAUGCAAGUCGAACGGCAGCACAGUAAGAGCUUGCUCUUACGGGUGGCGAGUGGCGGACGGGUGAGGAAUACAUCGGAAUCUACUUUUUCGUGGGGGAUAACGUAGGGAAACUUACGCUAAUACCGCAUACGACCUACGGGUGAAAGCAGGGGAUCUUCGGACCUUGCGCGAUUGAAUGAGCCGAUGUCGGAUUGGCUAGUUGGCGGGGUAAAGGCCCACCAAGGCGACGAUCCGUAGCUGGUCUGAGAGGAUGAUCAGCCACACUGGAACUGAGACACGGUCCAGACUCCUACGGGAGGCAGCAGUGGGGAAUAUUGGACAAUGGGCGCAAGCCUGAUCCAGCCAUACCGCGUGGGUGAAGAAGGCCUUCGGGUUGUAAAGCCCUUUUGUUGGGAAAGAAAAGCAGCAGGUUAAUACCCCGCUGUUCUGACGGUACCCAAAGAAUAAGCACCGGCUAACUUCGUG
rnacentral:rRNA from 1 species